UACGGAGGCCCCAAGCGUUGUUCGGAUUUAUUGGGCGUAAAGGGUGCGUAGGCGGCAUCUUAAGUCUGGUGUGAAAGGCGCGGGCUCAACCUGCGGACUGCAUUGGAUACUGGGAUGCUGGAGGACUGGAGAGGAGAAUGGAAUUCACGGUGGAGCGGUGAAAUGCGCAGAUAAUCGGGAGGAACACCGGUGGCGAAGGCGGUUCUCUGGGCCGAUACUGACGUGGAGGAGCGAAAGCGUGGGGAGCAAACAGG
rnacentral:rRNA from 1 species